GACAGAGGAUGCAAGCAUUAUCCGGAAUGAUUGGGCGUACAGCAUCUGUAGGUGGCUUUUCAAGUCCGCUGUCAAAUCCCAGGGCACAACCCUGGACAGGCGGUGGAAACUACCAAGCUGGAGUAUGGUAGGGGUAGAGGGAAUUUCCGGUGGAGCAGUGAAAUGCAUUGAGAUCGGAAAGAACACCAACGGCGACAGCACUCUGCUGGGCCGACACUGACACUGAGAGACGAAAGCUAGGGGAGCAAAUGGG
rnacentral:rRNA from 1 species